GAUUGAAGUCAAAAAGAAAAAACAGAACUAUUCAGAGACUGUCAGGCCUGACUCUUGGAGAAAGGCUUAAUGUUCUACUUAGCAUUCUGGUUUUUUUUUUUUUUUUUUUUUUUUUUCAAUGUGCCUCUUCCUGUGUAAGGGCUGGAAAGGACCCUGGAAACCACAGUCUUGCCAAAUUGCCCAGGCUAGCCUUCGACAUAUGAUAUUCAUCCUCAUCCUCACCUGGAAUUAUAGACUCAAGGCCCAACCAGAGAGAGACCCUGCCUCAAAGGGAUGAGGCGAAGAGCGAAGAUACCUACACCCUCCUCUGGCCUCCGUGAGUACGUGUGCCCAAGCACCUGCACAUAACACAUACAUGAGUAAUAAUAACCCAGUGCCCAAAUGCUGAGCCUGUGGCUAUGGAGAGAGCUGAUAUAUCAUGUUACCUCUGCUUCUAGACUGCCCUGAGAUCAGAGAGAGCCUGGACCAGGUGCCUAGCUCCUGUGGUGCUAGGGACUGAACCUGGGGCUUUGUGCAUGACAGGCAAUCACUUAGCUACCUCACCCACACCCCUGCCUGUCACUGUCUUUAAUAUUACUUAAUAUCUUAAGCAGGGCCUCUGUCUAUUUACUCUAAAACUACAACUUAGAUGGAAGCCCACGCCCUAUCAUUCCUCCCCAAGUGCCCACACUACAAUCCUUCCCACAGUGUGUAGUUUUGCUUUCCAGGGUAAAUAACUCUAAUAGCUCUUGCAGGUGGUGUCACUGCCACUGGCUUUUAACCCUUUUCAAACAGCAGUCAGUAAUUUGUAGAUCAUUGGUGAAACACAACCUUGAUACACAGACACACACGCACACACACCGCAGCCUUUAUAGGAAACCCUCCUGUCCCCUCCCUCCCCAUGCCACCUGUUCCUGGCAGAGAACAGGCUUCCCUCUGGGGAGGAUGGAAUGUUCCGAAAAAGGACAGUUGGCUCUUCUCCCUAGCUCCAAAAGACACUCUUAAUCAUCUAACAUCUGCCUCUCUUGUCUAAGUAAAAAUUCUUUGCAAAGACAGAUCUUGUCUUCAGCCCCAUGGAUCUGGCUCAUAGAGUACACAUUUGAAAACACUUAGAGGCUGGCGAGAUGGCUCAGUGGUUAAGAACACUUGCUGUUCUUACCAAAGGACCUGGAUGGCUCACAACCAUCUGCGUGUACACACACAUACACACAAGCACAUACAUGCAUGUGUGCAUAAAAAAUAAAACUGUGAUAAAAAAAAUUUGUAGUCUCUGAUUUAGGUGUGAUGCAUACCUUUAAUUCAAGCACUCCCUCACUCCUAAAGCAGAGGCAGGUGGAUCUCUGAGAGUUCCAGGACAGCCCCAGUUAUAUAAUGAAGUCCUGUCUAUGAAUGAAUGAAUGAAUUUUAAAGGCUGAGGCAGGUUCAAGAACAGCAAGAUGGUUUAGAAGGGGAAGGUGCUGGCUGUUUAAACCUGAUGAUCAUCCCCAGAAUCCACAUAUAGACAAUAGCAAAAAAAUCAGAAAGGUAAAGUAAAAAACAAAGCUUAAGACCUAGCCUCUGGGCUAUGGCUCAGUAUAGUGUUUGCCUAGCAUUUCUGAGGCCCAGCACUGCUUUAAGUAAUCAAAAACAGCCGGCAGUGGCACACACCU